CCGCGUUUUUAGCUUCCGUGACUGCCAUCUUUGCUUCUCUCCUCGCCACCUUGUAGAUCACCAUGUUCACUCUCCGUUCUUCCUCGCUUGUGCUCCCUGCCAACCUAGUGAACGCCUCCUUCUUCACCUCCACUUUUCCUUUGACUACAUCGUUCCACCACCAAUCACCCUGAUUUCUGCCUGAAUAACCCUUGGCUACCCCGAGCAUGUCCCGUGCUACCCCCCUAACCAAGUUCGCCUUCGCUAUCCACAUAGCGUCCGCUUCCCCAGAACUUCUCCAAGCUCCGCCCUCAACUA
rnacentral:lncRNA from 1 species